rnacentral:rRNA from 1 species
AACGAACGCUGGCGGCAUGCCUAACACAUGCAAGUCGAACGAUGCCUUCGGGCAUAGUGGCGCACGGGUGCGUAACGCGUGGGAAUCUGCCUUUCGGUUCGGAAUAACUCAGGGGAACUUGAGCUAAUACCGGAUAACGUCGCAAGACCAAAGAUUUAUCACCGAAAGAUGAGCCCGCGUAGGAUUAGCUAGUUGGUGAGGUAAAGGCUCACCAAGGCGACGAUCCUUAGCUGGUCUGAGAGGAUGAUCAGCCACACUGGGACUGAGACACGGCCCAGACUCCUACGGGAGGCAGCAGUGGGGAAUAUUGGACAAUGGGCGAAAGCCUGAUCCAGCAAUGCCGCGUGAGUGAUGAAGGCCUUAGGGUUGUAAAGCUCUUUUACCCGGGAAGAUAAUGACGGUACCGGGAGAAUAAGCCCCGGCUAACUCCGUG